AGUAGUUUGAUCAUGGCUCAGGAUUAACGCUGGCGGUAUGCCUAACACAUGCAAGUCGAACGGAAUACUAAUUAAGAGAAUCUCACACUAGUGAGAGGUUCUCACGAGUAGUAUUUAGUGGCGGACGGGUGAGUAACACGUUGGAACCUGCCCCGAAGUGGGGAAUAACUGCUCGAAAGAGUAGCUAAUACCCCAUAGUAUCCGGUUUAUCCGGAUUAAAGAUUUAUCGCUUCGGGAGGGGCCUGCGUCUGAUUAGCUAGUUGGUGAGGUAAAAGCUCACCAAGGCGACGAUCAGUAGCUGGUUCGAGAGGAUGACCAGCCACACUGGGACUGAGAUACGGCCCAGACUCCUACGGGAGGCAGCAGUGAGGAAUCUUCCACAAUGGGCGCAAGCCUGAUGGAGCAAUACCGCGUGCAGGAAGACGCUUUUCGGAGUGUAAACUGCUUUUGUCGUCGAAGAUUAUGACUGUAGACGAAGAAUAAGGACCGGCUAACUACGUG
rnacentral:rRNA from 1 species